ensembl:lncRNA
AUGCGCAUGAUCUCGAUCCAUAUCACUACUGUAUAUAGGAUGAGCUCAACUUGUACCAAGCAGCUAGAAAGGGGGGGGCAUGUUAUUCCUUAUUUUUUGCAUUUGCAGUCCGAGAGCCUGAGCAGUGAAAGGAAGUACUUGCUCAAUCGUGUGUCCAACCUGAGCUCAGAGCUGGAAGACGCCCACAGGACCAUUGCAGCCCUGGAGAACAUUAAUGUGCCAUGCUUGAUAAAGGAACUACUGAAGAAGCAUUUUGAUUCAGCUGAGGCUGUACAGAAGUUUCUCACAACCACUGCUGCAAACAGCCAUUCUGCCACCUCUCAGCAAACAGAUGGCCAGCCCCACCCUCCUAAAGCAGACAAAGCAGCACACGAUUGGCUGACAAAACCAGAGGCAGGUCCACAGAGGGUCACAGCUUUCACACCCUUUAAACAGAGUGUACCAGCAACAGGAAAUGAAUGCGGCCUCUCGGGUCAGCAUGAGCUGAGCCACAGCCCGCCUUUCUCUGUGGCUGAGAUCAGCACCGCUAUCUAUAAGAAAAUGGCUGCCAGUUAUGCUGCCAGGCCACAGCCUAUCUACCCCCAAAGCCAACAGCAGUCCUCUUUGGCCACUAAUCAUGCUGACACCCUUCCAGACCUCAGGCAGGGCCAUGUAGCUAGUGAUAACUGGGCCGGGAAGGGAGAGUUAAAGGUAACUCUUUUGGAGCAGGACACUGAUGAUGUGAACUCUGUGUCAGCCCAGCAGAUUCUGGAUGAUUUCAUGCAGCACCUACAGUUACACAAGGAGGCUGGUGAGAGGAAGGAGCAACAGAGUGGGCAGAAUUGUAGGGCAGAAGUAACAGAGUGAAAAUGCCACAGGCACAGUGAAUGUUCAUCUUAAUGCUUCGAAAUGUGCAUUUAUUCAUCUGUCUCAUGGAUAUCUGUCAGAUGGAAAUACUGUAUUUUGAAAAUGCUGUGGUUACGAAAACUUGAACAUUAUGUUAUUUUAGGCUAUCUGUGGGUGACAAAGGAAGGCUUUGCAUAAUAGUCAGAAGAUUUUCAUGCACAAAAAGAAAGAAAGAGCCACAGCUACGUCAAAAGAGUGAGAAAAAUGGCAAUAAAAUAACAAAGUAACCAAUUAUUUUAUUAAAAAUAUGCUUAUGCAUAAGUUCCUGUAGUAUUAAUUCACUGUCUAUUUUUUUUUACCUUUUAGUUUUCUUCCAAAUUGAUAGUGAAGGCAAAGUCACAGUGGAUAUCACAUAAUAUGGCAUCUCUAUCUAAAUCCAUCCAUUCACCCAUCUUCAUCCAAGUUAAGGUCAUGGGGGUAGCUGGAGCCUUUCCUAGCAGAUAGGUCACCAGUCGGUUGCAGCGCUGACACAGAGAGACAACUAGGGCCAGUUUAGAAUCACCAGUUCACCUAACCCCACUAAUUGCACAUAGAACCUUCUCGCUAACCAGCUCAUCACCAUGCUGCCCACUUCAUACAGACUACAGAAGUAUUUAAUUGUCUCUGAUAAUAGAUCAUUGACACUGAUGGGAUCAAAUGCGAUCACUUUUAACAAAUUAAAAAAACAGUGAAAGACAGGGAAUUUAAAAGCAGGAUACCUCAAGGCCUUCUGCUAAGUGAACAAUGAAUAUUCAGUGAACGACUUUGAGUGACAUCGAGAAAACAACAUGAGAAAGGAAGCUAAUUCCCCUUUGGAACCCAUUUAAGUCUUGAGUCAGGGCAUCUCUUUCUUAAAGCAGCAGGUUACUGUACCAUCAGUAUCACUAGAGACUGUUUUAAUCUACAUUUAUUCAUAAUAAUUCAGCCAGACUCAGUUGUUCGUGUUUCUGCUAUAUAUUUGUGUAAAAUAACGCUUCAGGGACUGCUUUGGAUGUUUCAAACAGUCUAAAUAGCCCCCAUGUGAAAACCUCUUAAAAUUAAUAAGUGUACAAUGAAAAAUACUAUUUUGAGUUUACUGUGCAUUGAUUGGUUUGUGUAAAUAUCCAGAGAUUCAGUGUAAAUGUCUUUAAUUCAUAAAAAGAAAGUCAAAUAUUAUGAUUCAAAAAUGUUUUCUUUGUAUUAUUGCAGGGUCUUUACCUUACAAUGUAAAGUGCCUUGAGGCAACUGUUGUUGUGCUUUGGCACUAUAUGAAUAAAAUUGGAUUGAAUUGAAUUGUUGACAGGAGAAAAUCUUUUCAAGCUGAUGUAAAUGACAAAUGUAUACAGUUAGAAUACAAAGGCGUGUACAGCUAUUGUGAUGGUGUUGAUAAGCUUAACAGAACGUGUACACCUGGAAUCUAUGUGUUCCUUUAAUUCUGUGCUUAGCAUUCUUCUGGUAUUAAUGUUGUUUUAAUCUAAAUCUCUCUCUACAUUUUGUCAUUAAAAAUACUUCUUUGUGUCUUUGCAGCUAUUCUACCAAUAAAGAUAGUUUUGUUGAUGCAGUAUAUCAGAUUACAAACAUUUGUUCAUUAUUGAUGAUUUCUUCUUCAGUUUCUUGUUGCCAAAUUCAAAUAAUAUAUAGCAUGUUUUUUUUUUUAUAUGCAAACAAAACAAACAAACAAACAAAAAAACCCAAUUGGAAGGUUGUGUUUUAAUCCCCGGCUCCUCCAGCCUGCAUGUAAGUGACCGUGGGCAAGAUAAUGAACUCCGUGUUGCAUUCAUUGAAAUUGAAAUUGAUGACCAUCUUGAGUUUGAGGAACAGAAAUGCAUCUGAAUGUGUGUGCUUCAAUGGGUGAAUGAGGCUUGUAAUAAAAAGUACUUUGAGUGCUCAGUUAGAGAAGCCUUCAGUUAAUCCAAAAUGCUGCAGCAAGAGUACUGACAGGGACUAGAAAUAGAUAGCAUAUUUCUCCUAUACUGGUUUCUUUUCAUUGGCUCCCUGUUAAAUUCAGAAUUGAAUUCAAAAUCCUGCUCCUCACAUACAAAGUCUUGAAUAAUCAGACCUCAUCAUAUUCUAAUGACCUUGUAGUACCAUAUCACCCUAUUAGAGCACUUCGCUCUCGCACUGCAGGCUUACUUGUUGUUCCUAGAGUAUUUAAAAGUAGAAUGGGAGGCAGAGCCUUCAGCUUUCAGGCUCCUCUUCUAUGAAACCAGCUUCCAGUUUGGAUUCAGGAGAUGGAUACCGUCUCUACUUUUAAGAUUAAGCUUAAAACUUUCCUCUUUGCUAAAGCAUAUAGUUAGGGCUGGAUCAGGCAACCCUGAAUCCUCCCUUAGUUAUGCUGCAAUAGGUGUAGGCUGCUGGUAGCUUCCCAUGAUGCUUUAGUAUUUCUUCUUCAUGUGUUAAUAGACCUCUCUGCAUUGAAUUAUACAUUUAUUUUUAAUCUGUGCCUCUCUUUCACAGAAUGUCUUUUGUCCUGUCUUCCUUCUCUCUCCCCAAACGGUCGCAGCAGAUGUCCGUCCCUCCCUGAGCCUGGUUCUGCUGGAGCUUUCUUCCCACUGUCGCCAAAGUGCUUACUCAUAGGGGGUCAUAUGAUUUUGGGGGUUUUUCUCUGUAUGUAUUAUUUUAGGGUCUCCCUUACAAUGUAAAGCACCUUGAGGCAACUGCUGUUGUGAUUUGGUGCUGUAUAAAUCGAAUUGAAUCGAAUUGAAUCAAAUCGAAUCGAAUUGAAAAAAAGUGCUACAUGUACGCUGCUGACAUAUCUGAGAUACAUUAAAAUCUCUGUUGUUAGAAAGCUAAACAGGUUUGCUUGUAAGUUUUAAAUGGCUUUCAAUCUGUCUCACUAUUCGAAAAUAUAGCUGCAAG